rnacentral:rRNA from 1 species
GACAGAGGGUGCGAGCGUUGUUCGGAAUUAUUGGGCGUAAAGGGCGCGUAGGUGGUUUAGCAAGUCGAGUGUGAAAGCCCAGUGCUUAACGCGGGAAGUGCACGCGAAACUGCUAAACUGGAGUGCCGGAGAGGGCAGUGGAAUUCCCAGAGUAGAGGUGAAAUUCGUAGAUUUUGGGAGGAACACCGGGAGCGAAGGCGACUGCCUGGACGGCAACUGACACUUAAGGCGCGAAAGCGUGGGGAGCAAACAGG